UACGGGGGGGGCAAGCGUUGUUCGGAAUUACUGGGCGUAAAGGGCGCGUAGGCGGUUCGCUAAGUCGGAUGUGAAAACUCUGGGCUCAACCCAGAGCCUGCAUCCGAAACUGGCGGGCUAGAGUUCUGGAGGGGGUAGCGGAAUUCCUGGUGUAGCGGUGAAAUGCGUAGAUAUCAGGAGGAACACCGGUGGCGAAGGCGGCUACCUGGACAGAAACUGACGCUGAGGCGCGAAAGCGUGGGGAGCGAACAGG
rnacentral:rRNA from 1 species